CUUACAUAAUUUAUCUGUCAAGUGGCACCACGGAGAUGCAAGAACUCUUGGAUGAAGCCUUUCUUCCAUCUUGAAGGUUUGGCUCUGCUGGCUUUGCCAGCCGGACCCCACCUGGAUUGCUCAGGACUUUCCUCCCAUCUCCACAGCCAGCCUUCAUCCUCAGACUCAUCCUCCAUCCCCAUCUGCACCCUCCUUUGAGACAUUUGGGCUGUGCCUCACCAGCGGGGACGGAGCAGCUGCGAGCACAGCAUGCAGAGCUGGGGGCCAGCAGCAGAGCUUGCCAAGAGAUCCGAGGAAGGGCUGCUUGUGAGGAGCUGCCCUUUGCUUCGUGCCUCCCUUCCGACUGCGUGGUGCUCUCAGCCAAAUACCAUUAAAGGUUUAUCCAUACGCUGAUCAAAUUAUUUGCCUCCAAAGCUGGAGCGAGGUCGGUCUCCAAGGGGAGAGGUGGUGGAUGUGGCACCAUCUUCCCAAACAACACAAGAUGUGCGGGCACUCCGAGAGAUUGGCCAGGACACUCUGGGAAGAAGUGGCGAUGCCUUCAAAGUGGAGAAUGGGUUGAUAAGGGGGGAGUGGGGAGAGACAUUUUAGCUCCUACUGGUCUCUUCAGUGCUCAGGAGUGUUUGGUCUGGUUCCAAGGCUCGGCUUCUGGAGGAGUUUGAGAGGUCCCUCGACAGAGCUCCAGCCCUCUGCAAAGCAGCCACCACAUCCCUUUUGUUCGGAGGAGCAGGAAAACGGGGAAGGCGUCAGCAGAGAAAGGCAGAUCAACGCCAAGCAUCUGGAAGCCAAAGACAGAGAAAAUCCAAUUAAAAAUCAGGCAAUGCUGCGAGUAGAACAAGCUAUGAAGUGAUGGAUUAUUCAUUCCACGAUGUCUUCAAUUCAAGAGAGGGGCAGAAUAAUCGAUCCUCCCAGCACUUCCACACUGUUUAUUGAUGAUGAGCACUCCAGCCCAACUUUUGGGAGCGUGCACAUUCCAGGCCCUGACUUUGGCAAACUGCAAAGUUCCCAUGGAUGAUGGAGGACAAUCCACCAGCCCUACUAGUCUCCCCCCGUCUCCUCCAGGCCCAGAGCUGCUCUCUUGGACACCUGCUUGUCUUGGCAAUGUUCUCUCAUCCUUCUGGCCAGGAUAUUUGAGUCUCUUGGCUUGCUGCUAGCUCUCCUGGACCAAGCCAGCACACUGCAGGGUCCUUGCAGGAGUCUCUCUUUCCUCAUGAACACCCACAGCUACAGCCCUGCAUCCUCCUCUGGCACUUCACUGCCUUAGAUCUCCUCUGCCUCCACCCCUGGAAGUGUCCAAAGACAGACUGGAUGCAGUUGGGAGCAAUGUGGUCUAGUGGGAUUUGUCCCAGGGCUGGAACUGAAUGAUCUGGAAGGUCCCUUCCAGCCCAAACCACUCUGGGAUUCUCUGAUCCAGGGAGAUUGGGUGCAUUAAACCACAGGGCUGUAAACCAGGUAAAUUAGUCACAGCCACCUGCUCGAUGGGAAAAGCUGCUGUGACACCCAAACCAAGGGAGGCAGAGCUGUGCAAGGUCAAGGAGAGUUCAGUUCAGUUCAGUCCACCAAGCCUCUGUCCAGGGAACCUGCAAACUCAGUGCAAGGUGAUCUCCUGCAGUGGCAGCCCCACACCACGGUGCUGCAGGGGCUGGGUUGUGCUCUGGACCCUCAUCUUCUCCUCCCCGUGUGCCCUGGGCCAGCAGCACUGGCACGGGGAUGGGGCACACGUGUCCCUCCAGCAUCUCAGGGGAAAGGUGAGGUCAGGGUGCAGGAUAUUGUUUUCAUCUCAAUCUGGGGGGAAAUUCCUGCGUCUCAGCAUACCCAAGGCCUUCCCUGCCAUGCCCAAGCCCCUGGAAAGGACCAAGGGAUGGAGGAGGGGCUGCUGCUUGCUCUGCCCCUCCUGUUUUGGUACCCCCAAAAUCACACACACAACAAGCACCCCCGGAAGCACUUGCUGACAGAAAGGCAUCUGGAGCAGGGGGCAGCACGGCUCUGCAAGGAAUAUUCCCCAUCCCAGGGGCUGCACUUCCAGCUGAAUUCAUGUAAAUCACCCAUGAAUCUCUGUAAUUAAUUGCUGCCACCUCACACAUGGCAGAUGUGCAGAGAGCUGAGCACAUCCCUGCACAGACCC